rnacentral:rRNA from 1 species
GACGUAGGGCGCGAGCGUUUGUCCGGAUUUAUUGGGCGUAAAGAGCUCGUAGGCGGCUUGUCGCGUCGACUGUGAAAUCCCGGCGGCUCAACCGCGGGUCUGCAGUCGAUACGGGCAGGCUAGAGUUCGGUAGGGGGAGACUGGAAUUCCUGGUGUAGCGGUGGAAUGCGCAGAUAUCAGGAGGAACACCGAUGGCGAAGGCAGGUCUCUGGGCCACUACUGACGCUGAGGCGCGAAAGCGUGGGUAGCAAACAGG